GUUGUAUGGUUAAGUGACUAAGCGUACACGGUGGAUGCCUUGGCAGUCAGAGGCGAUGAAAGACGUAGUAACUUGCGAUAAGCCCAGAUUAGGUAGUAACAACCAUUUGAGUCUGGGAUUUCUGAAUGGGGAAACCCACGUGCAUAAGCACGUAUCCUUACCUGAAUACAUAGGGUAAGGAGGCGAACCGGGGGAACUGAAACAUCUAAGUACCCCGAGGAAAAGAAAUCAACCGAGAUUCCGAAAGUAGCGGCGAGCGAAAUUGGACUAGCCCUUAAGCUUUACACGCGUUAGACGAACGGUCUGGAAAGUCCGACGAUACAGGGUGAUAGUCCCGUAGUUGACGACGUGUGUUCAGUGAAAUCGAGUAGGGCGGGACACGUGAUAUCCUGUCUGAAUAUGGGGGGACCAUCCUCCAAGGCUAAAUACUACUGACUGACCGAUAGUGAACCAGUACCGUGAGGGAAAGGCGAAAAGAACCCCUGUGAGGGGAGUGAAAUAGAACCUGAAACCGUGUACGUACAAGCAGUAGGAGCAGGCUUUGUCCUGUGACUGCGUACCUUUUGUAUAAUGGGUCAGCGACUUAUAUUCAGUGGCAAGGUUAACCAUCUAGGGGAGCCGUAGGGAAACCGAGUCUUAACUGGGCGUUCAGUCUCUGGAUAUAGACCCGAAACCAGGUGAUCUAGCCAUGGGCAGGUUGAAGGUUGAGUAACAUCAACUGGAGGACCGAACCGACUAAUGUUGAAAAAUUAGCGGAUGACUUGUGGCUAGGGGUGAAAGGCCAAUCAAACCUGGAGAUAGCUGGUUCUCCCCGAAAGCUAUUUAGGUAGCGCCUCGGACGAAUACUACUGGGGGUAGAGCACUGUUAAGGCUAGGGGGUCAUCCCGACUUACCAACCCUUUGCAAACUCCGAAUACCAGUAAGUACUAUCCGGGAGACACACGGCGGGUGCUAACGUCCGUCGUGGAGAGGGAAACAACCCAGACCGCCAGCUAAGGUCCCAAAUUACUACUAAGUGGGAAACGAUGUGGGAAGGCUCAGACAGCCAGGAUGUUGGCUUAGAAGCAGCCAUCAUUUAAAGAAAGCGUAAUAGCUCACUGGUCGAGUCGGCCUGCGCGGAAGAUGUAACGGGGCUAAGUAGUAAACCGAAGCUGCGGCAAUAUACUUUUGUAUAUUGGGUAGGGGAGCGUUCUGUAAGCGGUUGAAGGUGUGUGGUAACGCAUGCUGGACGUAUCAGAAGUGCGAAUGCUGACAUGAGUAACGAUAAAGGGGGUGAAAAACCUCCUCGCCGGAAGACCAAGGGUUCCUGUCCAACGUUAAUCGGGGCAGGGUAAGUCGACCCCUAAGGCGAGGCCGAAAGGCGUAGUCGAUGGGAAACGGGUUAAUAUUCCCGUACUUCUUACAAUUGCGAUGGGGGGACGGAGAAGGCUAGGUGGGCCUGGCGACGGUUGUCCAGGUUCAAGUGCGUAGGCUUAAGAGUUAGGUAAAUCCGGCUCUUUCUAAGGCUGAGACACGACGUCGAGCACCUACGGGUGUGAAGUCAUUGAUGCCAUGCUUCCAGGAAAAGCCUCUAAGCUUCAGAUUGUAAGGAAUCGUACCCCAAAC
rnacentral:rRNA from 1 species